UGCUAUUAAGUUUCUGAUGAAGCAAGGUAUGUUCCUCUCUAUUGUGCUGGUGUUAUAUAGGUUUGCCAAAGUAUAGUUUCUUCAAAUUGUGAAUUAAAUCCUAAUGUGCGAAAGUUUGUUCUUGUAGUAUGUUCCUGUCUAUUGUGUUGGCCUCGUAAAGAUUUGCCUAAAAUAGCAUGUGCAUAAAGGAAACUACAUGAAGAAAGUUAUCAAUCUGUUUUAAACUAAGAACAUUGGUAACGUCCACACCCUUAAUCUAAUAAGUACCCUUCUUAUCAUGGUUGAUGUCAGUCAAAUACUAUUACUUAUCUUGGUCGAUACAAAUAGACAGUCGCCCUAUUUAUUUCAUAAGCUACUGAUCCACUAAUUAUCUGGAUAACAUCCUUUUUCUCCUGGCCUUUGAUUUCGGUACUUCAUCUUCAUCUUCCAGCACUGUAUUUUUGGCUUUUGCUUUAACAUGUUUCUUGUUCCCGCAAACACCUUUUUCCUUUUUUUUCAGGCAUAUUGGUCUCAGUGCAUUCAUCCUCUGACUCAUCACGUGAUGACGAUGGUAUUUUGUCUUGACGCUUAUCUUUAUUUAAUGUAGUCCCAUUGCUGUCAUGUGGCUCCUCUUUCACAGGCACCAGUUCACAUGAAAGUUUGCCAGAUG
rnacentral:lncRNA from 1 species